GAUAUAACACAUACCCGGCAGUUCCUUGGGGUUCUCGGUACAGUCAAAGAAUUAUCCAGUGACUACAGAUUCACGCAUCAUUCUAUCGACUAGGAUAGCGAUUUUUAACCCACGUGUCACGAGAUUGCCCCUGUGGCUCGGGGGGUUUAGAAUACGGCCACGGUAUCCCCUGCCUGUCGUAAGAGGCGACUAAAAGGGGUCACACAGACUCAUACAUAUACACAUACACGCACGCACACACGCACACAUACACACACACCGAUUAAGAUGAGCGGACACUAAAAGUAUGGAUUGAGUAUAGGAUCUAAAAGUAUGGACAAGUAUACAGAAGUAAAAGUAUCGAUAGGAAAAGAGGGAGAAAUUUAAACAAUGCGCGGGGUUUGGAGGUGGCGGUGCUGCCAGCCCAUCCCCCAUGCACGUGGACGAUAGCGUUCAUUGGGCAAUAUGGGGACAAAUAAGUCCCCAAAAGCGCCGGCCCUUAGGGGCGAAAUUAGUGACAGACACCCCAAGAUGAUACCAGAUCGGCAUGCAGAGAGAAACCGGCACAAUGGAGUCCCUGAUACCGCAGGAUGAAAUUAGAGAGGUACUGGGAUAUGUGGAAUGCAGGAAUAUAAGUGAUACAAGGAUAUAAGGGAUGCAGAGAUGUAAGGGAUGUUGGGAUGUAAAGAGAGCAGGAAUGUGAGGAAUGCAGAGAUGUAAGGGAUGCAAGGAUAUGAAGAAAGCAGGGAUGUAACGGAUGUUGGGAUGUAAAGAAUGCAGGAAUGUAAGGGAUACAGCGAUGGAAAAGAUGCAGAAAUGUGUAAGGAGCUGUAAUCUAAGGGAUGCUGGGAUGUAAGGAAUAAAGAAAUGUAGAACCACACUCCUCGGCGGUCGCUACAAGACUGAGGGGAUUCCACUUCGCUCUAGGUCGAAUGGUUGAUAACGGUGCCGCAGCCAGCUGGGUACGCAGUAAUGUUGCAAAGCGAGAAAUCUGGAUUACACGUUUUGUAACAAUGUUUAUUAACCUUUACUCGAAUCAGUGGCUGCUAAUAUUCUUUUUUUUUAACGCGGAGAAAUCUUGCAUAAGACCCCCUAGCAUCCCCCAGGGCAAGGCGGCGGGGGAGUGUCAGAUUUCUGGUUCCGGGACCUUAUGUACAUAUAUACAGGGUGUUCGACAAUAGGUGGGCAAUAUUUUAAGGGGU